UACAGAGGUCUCAAGCGUUGUUCGGAUUCAUUGGGCGUAAAGGGUGCGUAGGUGGCGCCGUAAGUCAGGUGUGAAAUUUCGGAGCUUAACUCCGAAACUGCAUUUGAUACUGCGGUGCUUGAGGACUGGAGAGGAGACUGGAAUUCACGGAUGUAGCAGUGAAAUGCGUAGAUAUCGUGAGGAAGACCAGUGGCGAAGGCGGGUCUCUGGACAGUUCCUGACACUGAGGCACGAAGGCCAGGGGAGCAAACGGG
rnacentral:rRNA from 1 species